GUAGGGUGCGAGCGUUAAUCGGAAUUACUGGGCGUAAAGCGUGCGCAGGCGGUUUUGUAAGACAGGUGUGAAAUCCCCGGGCUUAACCUGGGAACUGCGCUUGUGACUGCAAGACUCGAGUACGGCAGAGGGGGGUGGAAUUCCACGUGUAGCAGUGAAAUGCGUAGAGAUGUGGAGGAACACCGAUGGCGAAGGCAGCCCCCUGGGUCGAUACUGACGCUCAUGCACGAAAGCGUGGGGAGCAAACAGGAUUAGAUACCCUGGUAGUCCACGCCCUAAACGAUGCCAACUAGGUGUUGGGGAAGGAGACUUCCUUAGUACCGUAGCUAACGCGUGAAGUUGGCCGCCUGGGGAGUACGGUCGCAAGAUUAAA
rnacentral:rRNA from 1 species